rnacentral:lncRNA from 1 species
GGAAGAGAGAGUCAGUGACAUGGGGAACCCUUCUUUUUAUCUGGAUCAGGCUUUACUGUCCUCCACCAAAGAGCUAACUAAGUGUGGUCCUACAAACCCAGGAGCCAAAAAUGAAAGGAUUUAACAUGCAGAAAAGUAUAAAUAAAUCAGCAUGACAAGUGAAAGAAGAGGAGAUG